AUUCAGUUAUUCAUAUACAUAUAUUCAUUCUUUUUCAGAUUCUUUUCUUGUAUAAGUUAUCACAGAAUAUUGUUACAAAUGAGGAAACUGAGACUCAGAGGACAAUGACCUGCCUGGGGUCACAAGGCUACUUUCUUCCAGAGUUGGGACUUGAACUCUCCUCCCUCAGGUCCUGCUGGGUCCUGUUCCAAAUGCAGGUUUACUGAUGGCAUUGGGUGCCAACUAUGCAGCGGCAGCUGUCACAGAGCUCUCCUGCAGAAUCACACUGGGCGUCUCUAUGUCUUGGGGAUUCUGUCCCCCUUCCUCAGUGGGAGCAGAACUCCCCGCCUCCCUCCCCAAUAGGUGUGGCAAUCACGCUCUCUUCCAGUUAGUUCUCUUUCACUGCAUCAGCAUUUCGGCUGCUGCAGCCUGCUUGGGGCAGAGCUGGGUUUGCUAUGCUGAGGACUGUUUUGGGAAAGAGGAUGUAAGGGCGCUUCGGCUGCUGUGUACGGGCUGACUGUUGGAGCACCCAGGAGAGAUGCCCCACCCACCUCCCAAGUGUGGGUAUGCUGGAGUUUUAUGUGGAAUAUGAGGCCAUGUAGGGUGGUGAUACCAGUAAGCAGUGAAUUGGUCAGAUUGCAGGAGGCAAGAGAGAAAUAACCCACACCGAAUUGGCUUAGCUGUAACUGGAGAAGCCCCAUGGCUGAGAAAGUCAACAGCAUCAACAAUCAAUUUAAAGAAUCUUUUUUAAAAAGUACUAUUUUUUCAUCUUUUUCUGGAUUUAACAAUAAUAUAUAGUCACUAUAUGAGCAUAAAAAUUAAAAAAAUAUAUGGAAGGGAAGAUGAAAUUAUGCAUAACAGUCCACUCAGAGACAGUUAGCAUUCUGGGUUACAGUCUUCUGGUUUUUUCUCUGUACAUGAGUAUGUAUACAGAUGACAUGGUUGAGGGAAGCCCUGCACAUGCAUUUUCUAUCCUUUGUUUUCCUUUGUCCUUGAUCAUGAGGAUUUCUAUGUUGUUAAGUAUUCUUUGAAAACACCAUUUUGAUGGCUGUAUAUUUUUCCCCAUAUGGACAUACAAUAAAUUAUUUAAGUAUACUCCCUUUGUUGGGCAUUUGGUUUAUUUCCAUUCUUAAGUUAUUAUAAAUAAACUUGUGAUGAAUAAUAGUGUACAUAAG